rnacentral:lncRNA from 1 species
AAAAAAGGGCAGAACCCCCAUGAUAUUUCAUAUUCUUCAGCACAAAACAACGUCCACCUUCCAAUCAGCCACACCCCCAACUUCUGAACUCCAACGCCGACAUCUGCUUCACCACCACCUGACCUAGCCGCUUCACCACGACGACGACCACCUCCAGCCCUUCCAGCGAACCUUCUCCAUCUCCUUCACACCGGCGAAGACCUUCUUCUCCACCAUAGCUGUACAAUGAAACACUAACAGAAGUGAUUCCCACUCCCUCCUCUCAAGGACCUGAUCUCCGUCUGCUCCACACCCAAACCUUAAAACCCACUGAAAAUUCAACGCCUAUGCCAUCUCCCUCACUCCAAGACCACCAGCGGCACCCCUCCAUAUGCAAACAAUCUCUAUCCUUCUGUCACCAAUGGCCUUGAUCGAUGGAAACGCGAUGGGAAGUUCUAAAAUAUCAGAUCUGGCCGGAAAAUUCUAGCGCCAGCAUUUCCCAAAUCUUGGAAAAUAUUGUUGUAUUGAGGACUGCCGGUUCGACUUCUCGUCUGUGAUUGAUAUCACAAUUUUCUGCCUUUCGAUUUUGCUCAUGGAAUUUUAAUUGAGGUUUGAUAUGCCGUUGAUUUGGGGCUGCCGUUUGUGGUGGAAAUUUGCCGUUCCCGUGUAAGUUCGUUGUUCUUGCUUGAUUAUGUCUGAAAUUUGAACUUGUAAUUUGUAUCUUAUAAUUCUCAAAGUUAAAGGAAAUCUUAACAUUUUGCUGAGAAAAUACACUGUAUGGAAUUUUCUUCCAAAGAAUUUGUGGGAACAAUUCAGGUAACUUUUUAAAUUUGUUUCAUAAAGUUUUUGCAUUCUAUUCUAGAUUGAGUCAGUGAACAUGUAGAUUUAACAUUUUGGGUUUCUCACGAAUAUUUUGCUAUCGCGCCAAUUAAUUCAAUUGUGUUUGUUUCAUUACAUUAUCAAUUUUAUUUGUAACCUUCUUUCGGGGUCUGUUAUUAUCCUAUUCGUUGUUGUAUAGAUUGUUUCUUGCAUCAAACUUUGUAAAAGGAACCGAGUCUUUCUUAAUUUUUUGUGAGCUUGAAUUUCUGAAUCUAUCUCUCCCUUUUCCGAAGAGCCUUAUUUUUUUUUGUCUUCAGCCGAUUUAUGGAUAGUAUUUUUGUUGAUUGCUUGCCUUAAAC